rnacentral:misc_RNA from 1 species
UGGCUCUCGCAUCGAUGAAGAACGCAGCGAAAUGCGAUAAGUAAUGUGAAUUGCAGAAUUCAGUGAAUCAUCGAAUCUUUGAACGCACCUUGCGCUCCUUGGUAUUCCGAGGAGCAUGCCUGUUUGAGUGUCAUGAAACCCUCAAACCCAAGUUUUGGAUUUCGAUCCAUGCUUGAGUUUGGAUUUGGAUGUUUGCCGGUGAUGAACCGACUCAUCUUAAAAGUAUUAGCUUGGAUCUGUCUAUAUGACUGGUUUGACUUGGCAUAAUAAGUAUUUUGCUGAGGACAUCUUUGGAUGGCCAGGACCUAGACUACUGUCUGCUAACUAAACCAUCACUUUAAGUGCAUCUUUGGAUGUUACUCAUUGUGUAACUUUGACAUCUGGCCUCAAAUCAAGUAGGACUACCCGCUGA